CAGCGGAAGUAGCUUGCUACUUUGCCGGCGAGCGGCGGACGGGUGAGUAAUGUCUGGGAAACUGCCUGAUGGAGGGGGAUAACUACUGGAAACGGUAGCUAAUACCGCAUAACGUCGCAAGACCAAAGAGGGGGACCUUCGGGCCUCUUGCCAUCAGAUGUGCCCAGAUGGGAUUAGCUAGUAGGUGGGGUAACGGCUCACCUAGGCGACGAUCCCUAGCUGGUCCGAGAGGAUGACCAGCCACACUGGAACUGAGACACGGUCCAGACUCCUACGGGAGGCAGCAGUGGGGAAUAUUGCACAAUGGGCGCAAGCCUGAUGCAGCCAUGCCGCGUGUAUGAAGAAGGCCUUCGGGUUGUAAAGUACUUUCAGCGGGGAGGAAGGCGUUGAGGUUAAUAACCUCAGCGAUUGACGUUACCCGCAGAAGAAGCACCGGCUAACUCCGUGCCAGCAGCCGCGGUAAUACGGAGGGUGCAAGCGUUAAUCGGAAUUACUGGGCAUAAAGCGCACGCAGGCGGUCUGUCAAGUCUGAUGUGAAAUCCCCGGGCUCAACCUGG
rnacentral:rRNA from 1 species